ensembl:lncRNA
UUGCCAAAUAACCUUAAAUCCUUAAUUCACCUCAUCAUACGGACUCUGGAUUCGUAAGCUCAGAGGCGACGGACCCAUUUACGGACGAAACACCUCCGGGACCGGACGAAACUGUCCGUAUCCGGAGAUAUGUAUCGGCCUUAAGUCCAAAGCAAAGUGGCCCCAGAUGUUAGAGCUACUCACCUUCUGUUACAAUUGCACAGAGCACGAGACAACAGGCUUUGCACCUUUUUAUCUGAUGUUCGGUAGAGUCCCUCGUCUCCCAGUUGACGUCCUGUUUCAAACUGUGGUUUCUGACGAUGUUGUGGUGGACCACAAUGAGUUUGUGUCACGCCUGAAGAAAGACCUGCGUGAAGCGGUGCAGAUUGCACAAAGACACAGUCAGAAAGAACAGACUAGACACGCAAGGCUCUAUAACAGGAAGGUCAAGGGGUCACCUCUAAUCAUUGGUGACAGAGUGCUCGUUGCGAACAGAGGUGAAAGAGGGAGAAGGAAGUUGGCUGACAAAUGGGAGUCAACAAUGUACGAAAUUGUGGCUGCGAACCCUGACAUCAAUGUCUACAAGAUCAAAGACGUUGCCUCUGAUAAACUGAAGGUAGUCCACCGAAAUCUACUGCUUCCUGUGAACUUCUUACCGAUUGGUGAUGGAGAAGACACCCACACCAGGGGUAGUGGUGAGGUGGUUCCUGAAGUCAGCCCUCGGAAGAAGUAGAUCACAGAGGCGAGGUGGUGCCUGAAGUCAAUUCUGUAGUUGAGGUGGAUGUCAGUGAGGGGAUGGUUCCCAAAGUCAACCUCCCAGGUGAGAUUGAUGGCAGCGUUGACCGGACUGUACACUGGAUGCUGUCCAGCCCUGAUGAUUCUGAGUUGGAGGAUCGACAGACUGGCCUCUCUGAAGGACAUGAUGUGUCUGAUUGGGUGUCUGAACCAUUUGACUCAGCUAGUGUCAUCGGCAGUGAUCGGAGUUUGGAGGACAGUGAUGUUCCCCCUAUAAUCAAUGGCCGACACAGUGCUGAGCUCCACCCCGUGGUCAUUGCACAUGAAGAGGUAUCCAUAGAUGCACUUCCAGUAUGCACUCAACCUCUGGGUUUUGAAGACACAGUAGCUCGAACCAGACGAGGCAGGGCUGUCAACCCUCCAGAGAGGCUCAUUUGCGAAAUGAAUGAGCAAGUCCUUGACACUUCAGAGUCCACAGUGAACUCUUUCAUUUAUUUAGUUAAAAGUUUGUUUUGAGAUUCAACAUAUAGGUACUAGAUGUCAGUGUAGUCAGUCUAUAGACAUAGUAAGACACAGUUAGAGAUAAGUAUCCUUUAUAGCAAUAUUUGAGGUGUAACAGGCAUCUCAAGAGUCUACUUUUGGUCUUGUGGAUGGCGCCAUCCCAUUCCUUAAGUACUCCUUAGUUGGAGGAUUCCUUAAUUGACAGCUAGUGAUAUUUGGUUUCAUUGACUUGUUAGUGCCUGUAUAAUUUUUUUUUCCGGUUUUGAGGCCUAGGAGGUAUUUUUUAUUUUUUAUUAUUUGUUUCUAUCUCUCUUCCUCUUUAUUUUGGUGAGUGUUUUACCGCUACGUCCCCAAUUUAGCAGGAUUUAAGGGAGGUGUAUGUAACGGAACAAAUAAAAUGAGUAUGUAUAUAGUUAUAUCCUGUAUCAUUGGGUCAAGACUUUUAUUUUGAUAUGUUGCUAAUGUUGUAUUCCGGAUAUCCUGCAGCAGAAAAGACGGUAACUGCUGCCGGUAGGUUGAGCAUAAAACGUGUCCGCAUGAAACAUUUAUUAAAGUAAUUUUAUCAUUGUCACUUAUCUGUAAACGGUUGUUUAAUACACUCUUCAUAUAGUUGGCAUUGUAUUGUUUCUUUUAUUUGAGUUUUGAUUUUCGUUUGCAUUUGUAAUAUUGUAUGUAUUUUGUCUAGGCGGACCAGGAAAUGCUCUAAACCUGUCCUUUAUGUUGCUGACCCAUUGUGCAGGCAAUAAAACCGCUGCAUCCAAUGCUGAGCGUCCGAGUCCAAUGCUUGAAGGAAACAAAACACAACGCAGGUUACAGUGGUGCCGUGAUCCCGGAUUCAACUGAUUGGUCGCUGACCAACAACCCUUACCGGAGUGCCUGUUACCAUUCCCACACUGGAGAUCAGCUGAGAACACUUGCGUAUUGUGUUAUAUUUGGGGAACUGUAGAAUAUUUGAAAUGUUAUGAGUAGAUAUUAAUGUGACUGUUUUAGUGAACAUCGACAUUUUGUAUUUUUUUAUUACAAUUUUUUUU